UUCUGGUUGAUCCCGCCGGAGGCCACUGCUAUCGGGGUUUGACUAAGCCAUGCGAGUCGAGAGGUGUAAGACCUCGGCGUACUGCUCAGUAACACGUGGACAAUCUGCCCUGAAGUGGAGGAUAAUCCCGGGAAACUGGGGGUAAUACUCCAUAGUUCGUGCUGACUGGAAUGUUAUGCGAACGAAAGAUCCGUCGCUUCAGGAUGAGUCUGCGGCCGAUUAGGUAGUUGUUGGGGUAACGGCCCAACAAGCCUGUCAUCGGUACGGGUUGUGGGAGCAAGAGCCCGGAGAUGGAUUCUGAGACACGAAUCCAGGCCCUACGGGGCGCAGCAGGCGCGAAAACUUUACCAUGCGGGCAACCGUGAUAAGGAAGCCCCGAGUGCCAGCACAGGCUGGCUGUCCGCCAGUGUAAAUAACUGGUGAAGAAAGGGCCGGGCAAGACCGGUGCCAGCCGCCGCGGUAAUACCGGCGGCUCGAGUGGUGGCCACUAUUACUGGGCUUAAAGGGUCCGUAGCUUGAUAUGCAAGUCUCUUGAGAAAUCCGCCAGCUUAACUGGUGGGCGUUCAGGGGAAACUGCAUUUCUAGGGACCGGGAGAGGUGAGAGGUACUGCCGGGGUAGGAGUGAAAUCCUGUAAUCCCGGUGGGACCACCUAUGGCGAAGGCAUCUCACCAGAACGGGUCCGACAGUGAGGGACGAAAGCUGGGGGAGCAAACCGGAUUAGAUACCCGGGUAGUCCCAGCUGUAAACGAUGCGCGUUAGGUGUGUCAGUGACCACGUGUCACUGAGGUGCCGAAGGGAAACCGUGAAACGUGCCGCCUGGGGAGUACGGUCGCAAGGCUGAAACUUAAAGGAAUUGGCGGGGGAGCACCACAACGGGUGGAGCCUGCGGUUUAAUUGGAUUCAACGCCGGA
rnacentral:rRNA from 1 species